ACGAGAAAACUUUGCAAUGUGCGAAAGCACGACAAGGUUAAUCCGAGUGGUUUCUGCUAAAGAAACCUUUUGUCAGUCCUAGAAACACUAACGAAUAAGGGGUGGGCAAGUUCUGGUGUCAGCCGCCGCGGUAAAACCAGCACCUCAAGUGGUCAGGAUGAUUAUUGGGCCUAAAGCAUCCGUAGCUCGUUUUGUAAGUUUUCGGUUAAAUCCAUGCGCUUAACGUAUGGGCUGCCGGGAAUACUGCAUAACUAGGAAGUGGGAGAGGUAGACGGUACUCGGUAGGAAGGGGUAAAAUCCUUUGAUCUAUUGAUGACCACCUGUGGCGAAGGCGGUCUACCAGAACACGUUCGACGGUGAGGGAUGAAAGCGUGGGGAGCAAACAGGAUUAGAUACCCUUGUAGUCCCUGAGCGGGCUGGCAAGGCGCAU
rnacentral:rRNA from 1 species